rnacentral:misc_RNA from 1 species
UUGCUUUCAGGCCAAGCUUCUUACCUUCUGCAUCUCUUAAAAUCUGAUAGUUAUUAGAAGUUAAAAACAACCAUGACCACGACCAAAAAAAGUUAUCAGCAUUUAUAUUUAAAUUGAACUCCACAUCCCUACAAAAGCAAAAGAAUAUCAUAUACCUGGCGGGGUGCCUCCAAUUUUUUUGCGGAGAUCAUCUGAACAGAAAUCAU